AUGCAGAUGGAUGCUAAGCUGCCAAUUGAUACCUUUGAAAAUGUUAUGCAACUUGCUGUUGAAGGCUGCAAGGCAAUAGCAAAUUACAUUCGUGAAGUUUUGCUAGAGAAUACCAAACAGCUGGAGUAUAGACGUGGCUUGUAGUUCAUAAAAAGGGUAUCAGGGCUCAUAUCCAAGCCCCAGCCUUUGCCUGGUUAUUGUUGGACUUUCAGUUGUCAAGUCAUCACUUGAAAUUUGUUGCAUGUACCGGAGUUGCCAUCUCUUAAGUGAAUUCAACUCUGUUAAUUUGCUGAAGUCGUAGCUUACCGGGAGAGAUAGUGGCCAGUAUAUUUGUAUUUAUAUUUUCAUUUGUUGCUGGAAGUGCUUGGUUUGACCGGAAACGUUGAACUCAUGAUGCCUUGUACCAUCAUUUUUGAAUUGUUGAUACAAUGCAGUAAAUUUUGCGAGGAGUAUGACAUGAGGUGGUGCGGUUGUCAGUAACCUA